rnacentral:rRNA from 1 species
CCGCCUGUCGUGGAGGAUUACACCGGCUGCCCCGCGCUCGCCGAGAUCAUCUGCAUCCUCUCCGUGAAGCGCCAUCGUCCCGGGAGGAUGUCGUUGCCUGGCUCGCCGACAACCUCAUGACGAGGCCCGCGUCCGCUUCUUCCUGUGCGACCUCCUCGACGGCGCCGCCGCACGCGGCUGCUAUGGCAUCUUCCACCUCGCCUCGUCCUGCACCGUCGACUGCGUCCUGGACCCCCAGAAGGUGAAGGAGUUGGUGGCGCCGGCCGUGGAAGGGACGCUCAACGUGCUGCGCGCCGCCAAGGAUGUCGGGGCAUGCGCCGGGUGGUGGUGACCUCGGUCGUCUCCGCCGUCGUGCCCAGCCCGGGAUGGCCGGCCGGGGAGGGCCUCGACGAGCACUGCUGGACCAACAUCGACUACUGCGACCAGAACAGGGUGUGCAUAUGACAGCAUGAUCCAACUGCCCCCCCACCAAGACCUAAAAAUCUUGUCUUCCCUGGAGCCGGCGCCGGCUUCGCUCCAUGGCCUCCCACGAAUCUCAACCCUGGCAGCUGGAGCCUGGUACCCUGCUUCAAAUACACUGGCUGAGAAGGCAGCAUGGAAGUUUGAAGAGGAGAAUGGGCUGCAUGUGGUUGUGGUCAAUCCAGGGACUAUUUUGGGCUCGAUGAUUCCGCCAAGGAUCAAUGCUAGCAUGGCCAUAUUUCUUCACUUACUUGAAGCUACUGCUUCUGUGCUAGAUUGGAUGGAUAAGCAAGAAAGCAAACCGAAUGGGGAAAGAUUGGGAGCAUAUCCAUUUGUUUGGAAACUAAAAAAGGAGAAGAUAAGAGUAUGUGGUGUACAAAGCUCACCCGUUUAUCAACAACUAUGUGUCGGCUUUGUUUUUUAA